rnacentral:rRNA from 1 species
CUUGCUAAGGCCGAUGGCGACCGGCGCACGGGUGAGUAACACGUAUCCAACCUGCCGAUAACUCGGGGAUAGCCUUUCGAAAGAAAGAUUAAUAUCCGAUAGUAUAUUAAAACCGCAUGGUUUUACUAUUAAAGAAUUUCGGUUAUCGAUGGGGAUGCGUUCCAUUAGGUUGUUGGCGGGGUAACGGCCCACCAAGCCUUCGAUGGAUAGGGGUUCUGAGAGGAAGGUCCCCCACAUUGGAACUGAGACACGGUCCAA